UAUGGAUCUCAGCUGCGGCCUGGCUCUUUCUCUCAGCUGUCGGCCCCCGAGUUUAACGCUAUACAUCUGUCCCUCCCAGACCAUGAGAGGAUGGUUGACUUCUCUUUCCAGGUGCCGCCUUUCACUUCCUCUCACCUCGAUUUAGUUCAGGACUUUUUGGUUUUUUGCAUUUUGGGACAAGUAGGAAGACAGAAUUUCAAGGUGGACAUCGUGGAUUACAAUUGCACAAAGUAGAGCCUGGCUUCUUUGUGGAGAGUCCAGAUGCAGGUGAUUUUGUCCCUCUGGGGCUACGUGGUAUCUUCUCUCAGCACCUCUCACCUACUUUACUCUUCUCUUUGAACACUGGAUUCCUAUAACUGUUCCAGAAUGAAAGCCUCGGCCCCAUGUCUCUUUGACCUUCCAGUUUGAUCCGUGUAGCAAACCGUUUCCCAGUACGAAUUUUCUGGAAGAGAAUUCCGAUUGGUCAAACAUGGGUGCCAUUCAUUAGAGGGACAGUGACCAAUGACAUCCAUUACGCACGGCCAUGAAUAUUUAUCUAGUGCCUUAUCCCUGUACCAGAGAGAACAGGAAAAGAGUUAUGAAGAGGCUUUUCUUUCACACCAGAUGACCAGUGUCCUUCCUCAGCUCAACUGAAAAAAUUAAGUGGACUGGUCUUCAGGUCUUGACAUAUUGGUUGCUUGAUGCAUGACUCCUGCUCAGUCUUCCUCCAGGAGGGCACCUGAUCCCGAUGAAGAAACGGCCCAGCAAGGUGGCCCAGCAGGUGGCCUAGCAGGUUUAGAUCAACAUUCGAAUCCAAGAGACUGGCUGGAAUGGAUGGCAAGCAGAUCAUAGGAACCUUGAAGACAAGGAAUACAUCUCUCGUUUAUUUGUAUUUUCUAAAAUUCCAAGCAGUUUCAGACAUACACCAGGACUAGGUAUCUCCCGUCUAAAUUGUGACCGCUACAGGGUUCAGAAAUACUGAGUGAACUGUGGGAUAGAUCCAUAUAAGUCUACGCGUACAAGGAAUGAAGAGGAUUCUUGGAAGGAAAAUCAUUCCAAGAGAAGGAGUUGGACACGAAAAGGUUGACAAAACCUUAGUUACUGAAGGCCUGGGGGUUAAAAGUCUAGAGAGAGAAGUCAAAAGGUUGGUGAUGUCUAACAGAAGCAAGAUCUGUACAGAAAAGCAGCAGUGCACUAAGACAUUUUAUUUAGUUUGAAUUUGGAAGUGGUCUUAAAAGAGCUUAGAAUGCCUAAGAAAGAAUGAUCCUUUUUUUGUUUUUUUUUUUUUAACUUGGAACUAUACAACCCUAUUUGGAGCAAUUGGACUAAUAUUGCUACGAGCCAACUGGGUCUUUACAAGCGGAGUUCAUUGAAUCUAUGCUACUCAUAGAUUUCUAGACAAGUCUACCUUACGCCUUACCACUUGAACACAUGUUCAGCACAUUAACAGCUCAUUCUUACUUUUAGCGAUACAGAAAUAGUUAUAAAUUCUAGACCAAGGUGACAAAAUAUUUUAAUUAUACAUGCUAGGCUUGUACCUUCCAGAGACCACUUAACUUAAAAUGUAUAUGACUGUUAAGGUUUUUAUGGGGGGAGGGUGUAUGAAACAUAUGCACACAUUUGCAACAUAUAUGUCUUUUAACCUCCAGGUUUUGAGAAUACUUUUAGCAAUGUGAGCUGUAUUUUUUUGCUUUUGGUCUACCUGAUUUCAACAUUAAGCCAUGUGUAAAAAUUAACUGUAAUGACAUUUAUAGGUCUCCAUGUAGCAUUAUGAGAAAUUUAAAAUUAGUUUAUAUUUUUAAAUAUAGCAUUAGCAACAUUGUCAGUCGAUAGUAAAUGAUAAAAAGAAAAUCUUUUGAAAGUUUCCCCAUGUUUCCAUCAAUAAAAUAUAACUAGACUUAUUUGAGAUGUCCAUACUCUUCAAUUGAAAAUAUUUUUGUAAGAAAAUUCUU